rnacentral:rRNA from 1 species
GAGAUAGCUGGUUCUCCCCGAAAUAGCUUUAGGGCUAGCCUCAGGGUAAAGAUUGCAGGCGGUAGAGCACUGAUCAGGAGAGGGACCUACCCGGUUACCAAACCCAGUCAAACUACGAAUGGCUGCAAUUAUACCUGGGAGUCAGACUACGACUUAUAAGGGCCGUGGUCAAAAGGGAAACAGCCCAGAUCAUCAGCUAAGGUCCCAAAUGCCGUGCUAAGUGGCGAAGGAUGUGGCGUUUCAUAAACAACCAGGAUGUUGGCUCAGAAGCAGCCACCAUUUAAAGAGUGCGUAAUAGCUCACUGGUCGAGAGACGCUGCGCCGAAAAUGUCCGGGGCUCAAGCACGGAACCGAAGCUAUGGCAUUGCGUAAGCAAUGGGUAGGGGAGCGUUCUUAUGGGGAAGAAGCAUUACCGUAAGGAGAUGUGGACACAUAAGAAGUGAGAAUGCCGGUAUGAGUAUCGAAAAGAAAGGUGAGAAUCCUUUCCACCGAAAGCCCGAGGGUUCCUGAGCAACGAUCGUCGUCUCAGGGUAAGUCGGGACCUAAGCCGAGGCACAGACGCAUAGGCGAUGGACAACAGGUUGAAAUUCCUGUACCGGAUGGAGUCAUUUGAGCAAUGGAGUGACGCAGGAGGGCACAUGAUCGCGCGACUGGAAGAGCGCGUCCAAGUGCGUAUGUUGAAUCGGAGGCAAAUCCCCGAUUCUGAAAGCAGAGACAUGAUGGGGAGUUAUAAGCGAUUAUGACGAACUCAUGGAUCCCACACUGCCAAGAAAAACUUCUAGCGAGACGAAAUCCGCCCGUACCGUAAACCGACACAGGUAGGCGGGGAGAGAAUCCUAAGGUGCGCGGGAAAACCCUCGUUAAGGAACUCGGCAAAUUGCAUCCGUAACUUCGGGAGAAGGAUGGCCCUGAGUAGGCGAAGUGCAGAAACGCACGGAACAGAAAAGGGUGGCAGAAAAGAGGCCCAAGCAACUGUUUACCAAAAACACAGGUGCCUGCGAAAGCGAAAGCUGAAGUAUAGGUGCUGACGCCUGCCCGGUGCUGGAAGGUUAAGGAGAGAGGUUAGCGCAAGCGAAGCUUUGAACUGAAGCCCCAGUGAACGGCGGCCGUAACUAUAACGGUCCUAAGGUAGCGAAAUUCCUUGUCGGGUAAGUUCCGACCCGCAUGAAAGGCGUAAUGAUUUGGGCGCUGUCUCAACGAGGGGCCCGGUGAAAUUGAAAUACCUGUGAAGAUGCAGGUUACCCGCGACUGGACAGAAAGACCCCAUGGAGCUUUACUGCAGCUUGAGAUUGAAUCCCGGUGGCAGACGCACAGGAUAGGUGGGAGGCUUUGAGAUAGUGACUUUGGUUGCUAUGGAGCCGACGUUGGGAUACCACCCUUCUGUUGCUGGGAUUCUAACGCGAAGAUUAACAACCUUGCGGACCAUCUCAGGUAGGCGGUUUGACUGGGGCGGUCGCCUCCGAAAGAGUAACGGAGGCGCCCAAAGGUUCCCUCAGGCCGGACAGAAACCGGCCGAAGAGUGCAAAGGCAGAAGGGAGCUUGACUGCGAGACAGACAAGUCGAGCAGAGACGAAAGUCGGGCUUAGUGAUCCGGUGGUACUGCGUGGAAAGGCCAUCGCUCAACGGAUAAAAGCUACCCUGGGGAUAACAGGC